ACCAUUGUCGUCCAGUGGUUAGGAUGCCAGGUUUUCAACAUACGCAUUGAAUUCCCUGGAGACCGGGGUUCGAACCCCCGCAAUGGUA
rnacentral:tRNA from 1 species